UUCAUAUCGACUCAGCUCCAGCCAUUGUGUCCACAUGACUAUUUAAUGGACAUAGGAAAGCCUGCCGAAACACAGAGAAGACUGCGCGUGGUUUAUAACGUGGCAUGUCUCCCUGGAGGAAAAGCCUGGGAAAGUCCCUGAAUUGGUGAGGUACUGAAUUGCGAGCAAGAUGGCAAAACCACUUGAUCCUAUGACUGCCAUAUCAAAUCUCGACAUCAGGUUAAAGCAGCUCAUUCUAGAAGAAGCUAGAAUAGAGGAGAAAUUGAAGGCCAUCGAACAACAGGAGAUAGCACAUAGAGCACGCGUGAAACAAUUAUUGGACUCCGCCGCCGCCGCCGUUGCCUCCGUCUUCCCAACCUCCGAUGGACGACAGGCUGGCAAUGACCAAAAGGCAACAGUGGGCACAGGCCGCACCGAGGUGGAGCCCGGGGCCAGGUCCGUGGCCCACAUUUUCCCACAGAACGCCCGU